GAUGAAGAACGCAGCGAAAUGCGAUAAGUAAUGUGAAUUGCAGAAUUCAGUGAAUCAUCGAAUCUUUGAACGCACAUUGCGCCCGCCAGUAUUCUGGCGGGCAUGCCUGUCCGAGCGUCAUUUCAACCCUCGAACCCCUCCGGGGGGUCGGCGUUGGGGACCUCGGGAGCCCCUAAGACGGGAUCCCGGCCCCGAAAUACAGUGGUGGUCUCGCCGCAGCCUCUCCUGCGCAGUAGUUUGCACAACUCGCACCGGGAGCGCGGCGCGUCCACGUCCGUAAAACACCCAACUUCUGAAAUGUUGACCUCGGAUCAGGUAGGAAUACCCGCUGAACUUAAGCAUAUCAAUAAGCGGAGGA
rnacentral:misc_RNA from 1 species